rnacentral:rRNA from 1 species
UAGGGAAUCUUCCACAAUGGACGCAAGUCUGACGGAGCAACGCCGCGUGAGUGAAGAAGGUCUUCGGAUCGUAAAGCUCUGUUGUUGGUGAAGAAGGAUAGAGGCAGUAACUGGUCUUUAUUUGACGGUAAUCAACCAGAAAGUCACGGCUAACUACGUGCCAGCAGCCGCGGUAAUACGUAGGUGGCAAGCGUUGUCCGGAUUUAUUGGGCGUAAAGCGGGCGCAGGCGGAAUGAUAAGUCUGAUGUGAAAGCCCACGGCUCAACCGUGGAACUGCAUCGGAAACUGUCAUCCUUGAGUGCAGAAGAGGAGAGUGGAACUCCAUGUGUAGCGGUGGAAUGCGUAGAUAUAUGGAAGAACACCAGUGGCGAAGGCGGCUCUCUGGUCUGCAACUGACGCUGAGGCUCGAAAGCAUGGGUAGCGAACAGGAUUAGAUACCCUGGUAGUCCAUGCCGUAAACGAUGAGCGCUAGGUGUUGGGGACUUUCCGGUUCUCAGUGCCGCAGCAAACGCAUUAAGCGCUCCGCCUGGGGAGUACGACCGCAAGGUUGAAAC